rnacentral:rRNA from 1 species
GACGAACGCUGGCGGCGUGCUUAACACAUGCAAGUCGAACGGAAAGGCCCUGCCUCUGUGGGGUGCUCGAGUGGCGAACGGGUGAGUAACACGUGAGUAACCUGCCCUUGACUUUGGGAUAACUUCAGGAAACUGGGGCUAAUACCGGAUAGGAGCUCCUGCUGCAUGGUGGGGGUUGGAAAGUUUCGGCGGUUGGGGAUGGACUCGCGGCUUAUCAGCUUGUUGGUGGGGUAGUGGCUUACCAAGGCUUUGACGGGUAGCCGGCCUGAGAGGGUGACCGGCCACAUUGGGACUGAGAUACGGCCCAGACUCCUACGGGAGGCAGCAGUGGGGAAUAUUGCACAAUGGGCGGAAGCCUGAUGCAGCAACGCCGCGUGCGGGAUGACGGCCUUCGGGUUGUAAACCGCUUUCGCCUGUGACGAAGCGUGAGUGACGGUAAUGGGUAAAGAAGCACCGGCUAACUACGUG